GGAUGAACGCUGGCGGCGUGCCUAAUACAUGCAAGUCGAGCGAACAGACGAGGAGCUUGCUCCUCUGACGUUCGCGGCGGCCGGGUGAGUAACACGUGGAUAACCUACCUAUAAGACUGGGAUAACUUCGGGAAACCGGAGCUAAUACCGGAUAAUAUAUUGAACCGCAUGGUUCAAUAGUGAAAGACGGUUUUGCUGUCACUUAUAGAUGGAUCCGCGCCGCAUUAGCUAGUUGGUAAGGUAACGGCUUACCAAGGCAACGAUGCGUAGCCGACCUGAGAGGGUGAUCGGCCACACUGGAACUGAGACACGGUCCAGACUCCUACGGGAGGCAGCAGUAGGGAAUCUUCCGCAAUGGGCGAAAGCCUGACGGAGCAACGCCGCGUGAGUGAUGAAGGUCUUCGGAUCGUAAAACUCUGUUAUUAGGGAAGAACAAAUGUGUAAGUAACUAUGCACGUCUUGACGGUACCUAAUCAGAAAGCCACGGCUAACUACGUG
rnacentral:rRNA from 1 species